rnacentral:tRNA from 1 species
UGCUAAGUUCAGUCCCAGUGGUUAUCACGUAUCCUUAACAAGGUGUUUCACCCAAUCCCGGAUAAGGUCUUGAGUUCGAUCCUCAACUUGGUCA